CCUGUUAAAACUUUUAGUUGUGUCAUGUUUGUAGAAAUAUGUGUUAGUAUAAACGAGAAACGAAGAGGUUUGUGCUGCUGGUCAUUCACACCGGACCCUGAAGAGUAAUAGAGGAGAAAACAGUCACUAACCUGAGGUCAAGGUUACGUUUGCAUAUUCAUUUGAAUAGUUAAGCUUUGUUAACUCAGCUCUACUAUAAGGGACACGUAAGGACAACCACACCGAACGCUCAGAUAUAUUAACCUGAACAUAAUACGUGACUGAGGAGUGAGGUUGUGAACUUAGUUAGUCAUAGUUAGUCUUUAAUGCCACUGGAAAAUUUGUAUACUUUUUUCUGGUCUUGAAUAUUUUUUAUCAUGAUAUACUUCUGUAACCCGGUACAUGAAGACUGCAUACUAGGAUAAAGGCCAUGAUAUCAUCUGUAAAUAUUUGCUGGUGUCAUUGACUGGUCACAUUUCUCCCCAAAAUCUAAAGAAAAAAUAAAUAAUUACAUUUGGAAUGAAGCAACUGAAGACAAAAGAUGAAACUAAAGUAAAAUUGGCAACAAAGAAAAUUCAACUUGUCCGGGCUGAUCAUUUAUCAAAAAUCUCGUGUUUUGUUCAACUGAAUAAAGAAACUCAUACAGGACAUGAGGAUGUGACUCACGAAGCUUGUGCUCCUGUUUACAAAGACCCAUUUGUGUCCCGUUGGAACAUCCGAUCAAAGCGCGACUCCAGGGAUGAAUGCUCAGAUAGGAUACUGGGAUUCUAGGAACCGCAGAUAAAGUCAAUGUUACACAUUUAAAAGAGUGAACUGUCCUCAAUUGCUUGAUCGUACACGUAUCACAAUAACAGAUUGGAUUGUACAGAUAAAAUUCCUCUCACUUCAACAAAUACAAAUAUUUACUGUAUGUCGGAAAACCUUGGAUUUCCUGUAGUAACUCUCACAUGUUAUACAAUGUAAAAAAUGUGCAUACACAUUUUUAAGCAUAAUCAUUUCAACCUUGAUUAUUUGAUCUUGAAUAGUGAUGAGUUGCUGUACUGUAACUUAUAAAAUAAAGUUGAAUUAGCUUAAGUUAUUUUAAUUUUAUUCAAAAAGUUACAGCAAC